rnacentral:rRNA from 1 species
UACGUAGGGUGCGAGCGUUAAUCGGAAUUACUGGGCGUAAAGGGCUCGUAGGCGGCCAACUAAGUCGGAUGUGAAAUCCCCAAGCUUAACUUGGGAACUGCAUCCGAUACUGGAUGGCUUGAAUCCGGGAGAGGGAUGCAGAAUUCCAGGUGUAGCGGUGAAAUGCGUAGAUAUCUGGAGGAAUACCGGUGGCGAAGGCGGCAUCCUGGACCGGCAUUGACGCCUGAGGAGCGAAAGCUAGGGGAGCAAACGGG